rnacentral:rRNA from 1 species
AAAUUGAAGAGUUUGAUCAUGGCUCAGAUUGAACGCUGGCGGCAGGCCUAACACAUGCAAGUCGAACGGUAGCACAGAGAGCUUGCUCUCGGGUGACGAGUGGCGGACGGGUGAGUAAUGUCUGGGAAACUGCCUGAUGGAGGGGGAUAACUACUGGAAACGGUGGCUAAUACCGCAUAACGUCGCAAGACCAAAGAGGGGGACCUUCGGGCCUCUUGCCAUCAGAUGUGCCCAGAUGGGAUUAGCUGGUUGGUGAGGUAACGGCUCACCAAGGCGAC